rnacentral:lncRNA from 1 species
UACAGUUGCAAUUUUUAUAUUUGGCGGGAAUAAAUUUGUAAUUUUUUUAUAGGUUAGUUCUGUGACGACCUUAGAGUAUGGAAAAUUUUUGGGAGAGGGUAAAAAAUUUUCCAUACUCUAAGGUGACGACCGUUGGCCGGGUUCAAUUUACCAACUUUUCCCAAGAUAACGCUAGUUUUUUGUGGCGAUUUGUAAAGUUAUUUUAAUUCUGUGAAUAAAAUCGAAUAAGGUAAGCAUUGUCCUUUAGUAAUAUGUCAAUAGUUUCGUAAUUUAGAUGUUUGAUAAAAUGUGAGCUUCGUCUAAAAAACAUGUGUAUUUAAAUUCACAUCGCCAAUAACACGAACAACAAUAAAUGUGAAUUUAAAUACACACUGCCCGUUUUAGACCAUUUAAAUAAGAACGACGAGUAAUAGGUGUCCAGGGUAGUACUCGUUGAAUUGUUAACUGUAUAAAAUUAAUAUAUUUUGUGAUUUUAUUUAAAUGUAUUCCAAUAAGUUUUAGUAAUGGGCGCUGGGUAUUAGUUUCAAGUUCGUCUUUGUUUCAGAUUAUGGCUUCCAACAGAACAAAGAGAAUAUACAAUUAGCAACUCAACAAAUAAAUGAUGAGGAGGAUUGUGAGUAUAAUAUUUUAGUUCCCAAUAGAAAUAUUGACUCCGAUAUUGAAAGUGAUAAUGAAGAAUAUAUUAUGUUACCGUCCGCCCCUUAAUCAUAUCCUGUAAUAGAGGGUGUUGAUGACGAUGAAUUAGAAAAUUCAUCUAAGUUUAGUAUUUUAUCGAAUAUAUUGCUCGAAAACGAGGAGAUCUUGGAAAACGAAGCAAACAAUGAAAAGGUAGAAAAUGCAGAAGGUGCUAAAAACAACGAGCUAAAUGAGCGUAUUGGGUAUGUUAUAGAUGAAACCUUAGCAG